rnacentral:rRNA from 1 species
CGGAACACGUACGCAACAUACCCUUGUCUGGGGCAUAGCCCGAAGAAAUUCGGAUUAACACCCCAUAAGAUCACAAAAAUGGCAUCAUUUAGUGAUAAAAAAUUCACUUGGACAGGGAUUGGCGUGCGUCCUAUUAGCUAGUUGGUAAGGGUAACGGCCUACCAAGGCAACGAUAGGUAGCUGGUGUGAGAGCACGACCAGCCACACGGGCACUGAGACACGGGCCCG